CAUUUAGAAUGCAGGAAUCUAGUGAACAAAGAGGUCUCCAGGGGUGGAAGGAAAGAGGAGGGGGAGCAGGGCAACUUUCCCACCCUCCACCCUCGGCUGUCCAAGAGGAAGAAAGGCAAGGGCAAAGGGAAGGACAGCCAGCUUCACUGGGGGCAGAAAAGAGAUCCAAAGCCAGCAGCCCGAGGCCUUCUUCCCAGCACCACCACCGAUGGUGUGAUUUACAGUUACUUAGUCUCUGAGCCUCAGUUUACUCAUCUGUAAAACUGGAGGAAACAAACCAUGGAUUCGUCUGCCUCAGCUUCCCAAGGCUCAGAAGACCCACAGGAAGAAGAUGGUUGCUCUCUAGCCCUUUUCCAAGAAGCAGGAAACCUCUGCAUUCCUGGGACUCACGACUCUGUCUGGCAGAAGGCAGUGGGUGGCCAGACCUAAAGCAUCCAUCCUGCCUGCCCUUGGACACUGCAGGACAUGAAGCCACAUGAGACUCACCACUGCUGACCCCACAGGGAGACAGAGAGCUGGGGCAGGACAAUGCCCGAGGUGACCCCUACCCCACCUAAGGGGGCUGCGUGAAAGAACAAUGGGGAGGUGGACUCUAGGGGAAGGCACUUGUCCUCUGCGGCCCUUUUGACUUCCAGCACGCUUCUUUCAUACCCUACCCUCAGCUGUUAUUACAAAACACAUGAGCUUAGGGAGAAAGUCUUCACUAGAAUGCCAGCCUAAACCAACCCAAUCAGGCAGGUAAAACUUCUGGAAAAAAUAACAGUAGUGAUGUUUGGAUUCCAAGCGCUGUUUCUACCCCUCCCUACCUGGUAGGAUACAUGGAGAAAUGCAGAGCUCAGCUAAAACCAAGGUAGCAGGGUUGCCCACUUCAAAGUCAGCAUACCCCAGUAGGAGAGCCUGGGGUGAAAGGCUGCAGGCGGAUGGGCAUCCAGCUCCGAUAAGGCAGAGGAAGGGUAGGACUGUGUCUGGGGCCUGCUGACUGUUCCCUCACCCCAGAGGCCACAGGGAUAAUCUGCUCACAGAGCCCUCUGGCCUCAGACAUUUAGUUUCCACCCUAAGCCCCUCGGGUAGAGGACAAGGAGCCAGGCGCCAGCCUCAUCCAGAGCCAAGCAUGUGGCCAGGGGCCAGCGUAGGCCAACACCCUGAUGUCCGCAGCUCCAGCUGUUGCCCCUCUGCAGAGCUUUCACCGGAGGCAGCCCCUUCCACGCCAUCAGCAUCUUUCCUCCUGUCAUGGGGUGAAUGUGUCCCUCCAAAACUUCUGUGUUGAAGUUGUAGUCCCCACAGUACCUCACAGUGACUGUAUCUGGAGACAGACCUUCAAAAUAGGGAUUGAGGUAAAAGUUGAGUGUGUCCUAACCUAAUCUGACUGGUAUCUUCAAAGAGGAAAUUUGGACACAAAGAGACAUCAAGGCUGCUCUGGCACAGAGAGAUGAAGAUGACCAUAUGAAGAGGCAGCAAAGUGGCUGUCACCUGCAAAGGUCAAGGAGGGAGGACUUAGAAAAAAGCCAACCCGGCUGGCACUUUGACCUUAAACUUCUGGCCUCCAAAAUGGUGAGAAAAUAAAUUUCUGCUGUUUAUGCCACUCAGUCAGAGGUGUGCUAUUAUGGCAGCCCUGAAUUCUCUGGGGGAUCAUGAGGAAGGGUCAGGGGUCCUCCUCCUCACACACUCCUAGAUGAGCUUCACAUUGAGAUAGUGUUCCAGGAGCCACCAUAGCCCAGCUCAGCCUGCCUCUCAGCUCAGCUCCCCAGCGGCUACAGCUUCCUCUAGAAAGCUCCAUCUGCCCGAAGGCCAAUCGGUGAGCCCAAGGCAGGACCAUGUAGGUGCUGGGGACCCAGUGGGAGUUGCUGUGAUACCAGGCAAGAGAAGGGAACGGGAGAGUGGGUAGGCAGUGAAGCAGGGGACAGAGAAAUGGCGAAUAACAGGCUACAGUGCAGAGGAUCAGGGUACCUUCCCAUCCCCCAGCCACAGAAUUACUGUAGGCCUCAGUUUCCCCCUCUAUGCUCAGACACCCCCUCUUAAGAGCCUAGAGAGAGACAAGGGUCUUAAAGUAUGGCUAAAUGGGUGGAAUGGGGGAAAUUCUACUAAUCAUAAUAAAUAACUUUGCCUAAGUGAUAA
rnacentral:lncRNA from 1 species